UACAGAGGUCUCAAGCGUUGUUCGGAUUCAUUGGGCGUAAAGGGUGCGUAGGUGGCGCGCUAAGUCAGGUGUGAAAUCUCGGGGCUUAACUCCGAAACUGCAUUUGAUACUGGCGUGCUUGAGGACUGGAGAGGAGACUGGAAUUCAUGGUGUAGCAGCGAAAUGCGUAGAGAUCAUGAGGAAGACCAGUGGCGAAGGCGGGUCUCUGGACAGUUCCUGACACUGAGGCACGAAGGCCAGGGGAGCAAACGGG
rnacentral:rRNA from 1 species